UUCUAGUCGAGCAAGGGAGCCAUCUUCCGAGCUUGUCUCGGAGCAUCCCACACUGAUAAACGUCGACUCACUGAUGGUUAAGGAGGCUCAAGAUUUAUUCCAGUACAAAAUGAAAGAAUUGUGGCAGAUUACCACUUCUUCCUCUACCAUCUCUCUAAUGAUGAGUGGUAGGUCUUCUCGAGGCGCUUAAGCAAACCUCCCUCCCGCACUGAUAAAAGC
rnacentral:lncRNA from 1 species